GGGGAUUUAGCUCAGUGGUAGAGCACUUGCCUAGCAAGCACAAGGCCCUGGGUUCGAUCCCCAGCUCCA
rfam:Rattus norvegicus chromosome 16, whole genome shotgun sequence.